rnacentral:misc_RNA from 1 species
GAUGAAGAACGUAGUAAAAUGCGAUAAGUAAUGUGAAUUGCAGAAUUCAGUGAAUCAUCGAAUCUUUGAACGCACAUUGCGCCCCUUGGUAUUCCAUGGGGCAUGCCUGUUCGAGCGUCAUUUGUACCUUCAAGCUCUGCUUGGUGUUGGGUGUUUGUCUCGCCUCUGCGUGUAGACUCGCCUCAAAACAAUUGGCAGCCGGCGUAUUGAUUUCGGAGCGCAGUACAUCUCGCGCUUUGCACUCAUAACGACGACGUCCAAAAGUACAUUUUUACACUCUUGACCUCGGAUCAGGUAGGGAUACCCGCUGAACUUAAGCAUAUCAAUAAGCGGAGA